rnacentral:ncRNA from 1 species
AUAUAAAAAUUUUAUGAUUUAAAAAAUUUAUUUAAAAUUUAUUUUACAUGUAAAUUUUAGUGUUAAUUAUUCUUUGUUUAAAUAAUUGAGAAAUGUUUUAUAUAGUAAUUAAUAUUAAAAAUUUAAGAAAUUAAGAUUUAGUAAUAUAUAAAUUAAUAACAAAUUUUGUGCCAGCAGUUGCGGUUAUACAAGAGUUAAAUUAAAUUUUAUUGGUAAUUAAUUAAUAAAUUUGGGUUGUAGGUAAAAUUUUAAAUUAUUAGGUGAAAUUUUAAUUUAAUUAAAACUUAUUAAAAGUUUAUGAUUUAAUAAUUUUUAUAAUAAACUAGGAUUAGAUACCCUAUUAUUGAUUUUUAAAUUAAAAAUGCUAAAAUAGUAAAUGAUUUAAAAAUUGAAACUUAAAUAAUUUGGCGGUAUUUUAGUUUAUUUAGAGGAAUCUGUUUAAUAAUUGAUAGUCCACGAAUAAAUUUACUUAAUUUGUAAUUUUGUAUAUCGUUGUUAUAAAAAUAUUUUUUAAUAAAAAUAAUAUUUUAAAAUUUUUAUUUAAAAUUAAAUCAAAUCAAGAUGCAGAUUAUAAUUAAGAAUAUAAUGGAUUACAAUUAGUUUAAUUAAAAUGAAUAUUAGUUUUUAAUAAUUAAAUUGAAGGUGGAUUUAAAUGUAAUUUUAUUUAGUUUAAUAAAAUGAUUUAAAAUUAGAAUAUGUACAUAUUGCCCGUCGCUUUCAUAUAAUUAAAUUGGGAUAAGUCGUAACAAAGUAGAGGUACUGGAAAGUGUUUCUAGAAAGUU